AUUGAACGCUGGCGGCAUGCUUUACACAUGCAAGUCGAACGGCAGCACGAAAGUUUUUGCUCUUUUUGUGGCGCGUGGCGAACGGGUGCGUGUUGCGUCGGAACGUCCCGAGUAAUGGCGGAUAACUGUCCGAAAGGCUAGCUCAUACCGCAUACACUUUGAGACGUAAAGUGGUUGCUAUUCCUAUCUGCCCUUUUUCCAACCUCCGCUUCCUGAUUACCUAGUCGGUGGGGUAAAGGCCUCCCAAGGCGACGAUCAGUAGCGGGUAUGAGAGGAUGAUCAGCCAGACUGGGAGUGAGACACGGCACAGGCGCCUGCGGACGGCAGCAGUGGGGAAUUUUGGAGAAUGGGCGCAAGCCUGAUCCAGCCAUGCCGAGUGUCUGAAGAAGGCCUUCGGGUUGUAAAAGGCUUUUGUUAGGGAAGAAAAGGAUAGUGUUAAUACCAUUAUCUGCUGACGGUACCUAAAGAAGAAGCACCGGCUAACUACGUG
rnacentral:rRNA from 1 species